UACGUAGGGUGCGAGCGUUGUCCGGAAUUAUUGGGCGUAAAGAGCUUGUAGGCGGUUUGUCGCGUCUGCCGUGAAAGCCCAGGGCUUAACCCUGGGUCUGCGGUGGGUACGGGCAGACUAGAGUGUGGUAGGGGAGACUGGAAUUCCUGGUGUAGCGGUGAAAUGCGCAGAUAUCUGGAGGAACACCGGUGGCGAAGGCGGCGACCUGGUCCUAUACGUGACACUCAUACACGAAAGCGUGGGGGAUCAAACAGG
rnacentral:rRNA from 1 species